UAAAAUUUAAAAUGAACUUCUAAAAUUUUAUGACCGAAGAAAAUCAAAAAAUACAAAUUUUGAAUAUUUAUAUUUUUAAAUAUUUUAAUAAAAUAAAAAAAUAUAAAGCUAUUGAAUGUUAUAAUAUAUUUUUACAAUAUAAUUAUAUAGGUUACUUAAAGAACUGAAUCAUCUUAGUAUUUAAAGGAAAAAAAUGUAACAACGAUUUUCUUAGUAGCGGCGAGCGAAUAGAAAUUAAUAAAAAUAUUAUAAAUAUAAUAUAAUAUUAUGAAUAAUUUUUUAGUAAUUAAUAAAAAUAUGUAAAACAAAUAUACGAUUUGUUUGAAAUUAUGUUAUUUAGUACUAUCUAAAAAAUUUUUAAUAUCAUAAAAUUUUAUAGAGAACUAGUACUGUGAAGGAAAGAUGAAAAGAUUUUGGAUAAAAAAGUGAAAAGAACAUGAAAUUUUAAAUUUUAUAAAGUUUAUUUAAUUUUAUUUAAAUAUAAUUUAAUUAAAUGCUUGUUGAAGAAUGAGUCGGCGAGUUAUAAUUAUUUAUUACAUACAGUUACAAAUUCAAAUGUAUUAUAAAAUAUUAUGAAAUAUAAUAAGAGGUAAAUCGAGUUUUAAUAAAACAAUUUUAAAUAAAUAAUUAUAGACCCGAACCCAAAUGAUCUAAUUAUGCUUAGAAAAUAAUGUAUUAAAUUACUUAUUGUUCGAACUAGUUGAUGUUGCAAAAUCAUUAGAUGAAGUGUAAUUAGUGGUGAAAUGCUAAUCGAAUUUGGAGCUAGCUGGUUUUCUCUGAAAUGUAUUUAAGUACAGAUAAAUAUAAACAAUAAAAGAUAAAGCUCUACCUUAUAUAUUUAUAGAUAAAAUUAUUUGUAAGUAUAUUUAGUAAACUAUAAAUUAUUAUUAUAUUAUUAUUAUAAAAAAUUAAUAAAUAAUAUAUUUAUUUAUAUAAUAUUGAGACUAUUAGGGUUAAGCUUAAUAUGUCAAAAGGGAAACAGCCCUUAAUAUAAAAUAAGGUAUAAAAAAAUAUACUUAGUCUAAGACAUUUAAUUAUGAUUAUGGCUAAAAUAUAAGCUUUCAAGCGGCUAUUAUUUAAAGAGUGGUACUGAGCACAUUAGAACAGUAAUUAAAUAUCAUAAAUAAUAGAAAAUAAGUAUAUUGCCGAAUUUAUAAAUUUAAAUAAAGUAAUAUUUAUUUAAAUAGUAAGAGAACGUUUUAUUUAAAAAUAUAAUUUAUAUGAAAAUAUAAAUAAAAUAUAAAAUAUAAAUAAAAGUGAUAAUGCCGAUUUAAGUAAUAAAAUAUUAGAUAAUAAUCUAAUACUCCGAAUAUUUAUAGAUUUCCUAUUAAAUGAAUUUAUCAAAUAGGGUUAGUCGAAGUCUAAAAAUAAAUAGUAAGUUUAUUUGAUGGACAAUAAGUUAAUAUUCUUAUACUAUGAUAACCUAAAUUUAUAUUAAAUUUUAAGUAAAUUAAUAAAUAUAAUUGUUUAUAAAUUUACUUAACUAGAAAUGUUUAAUUUAAAAUGUUUAUUAUAUUCGUAUUAAAUCUGACACAAGUAAAUAAGUAGAAAAGAUACUAAGGAGAUGAAUAAAUUUUCUUUAAGGAACUAGGCAAAAUGAUUCUGUAACUUAGGGAUAAAGAAUGCUUUUAAAGUAUAAUAUACUAGGCUCAAACGACUGUUUAUCAAAAACACAGGUUCUUGCUAAAUUUAAUAAUGAUGUAUAAGAACUGACUCCUGCCCAGUUCUAGUAAGUGAAAAAAAAAUAUUACUAUUAUAUAUUUUUAUAAGCUCUAGUUAAACGGCGGCUGUAUUCAUAACGGUCCAAAGGUAGCGAAAUUCCUUGUCGGGUAAGUUCCGACCUGCAUGAAAGGAGUAACGAUUUGAGCGCUGUCUUAAAGAAAAUUUCAAUGAAAUAAUAAUGUCUGUGAAGAUACGGACUAUUUACACAAGGACAGAAAGACCCUAUGAAGCUUUACUAUAAUUUAUAAAUAUAAUUUAUACACUAUUCAUGUAGAAUAUAUGGUUAAAAUAAUUAGUUUAUUUUUAUAAAUGAAAUACCAUUUUUAUAGUUAUCAAAUUAUUAAUAAUGUUAAAUCUAAAUAUUUAAUUAAACAUUUAUAGAUCUGAUAGUUUUACUGGGGCGGUAUCCUCCUAAAUGGUAACGGAGGAGAACUAAGGGUAUUUAAUUAAUAUCUAUAAGGAUAUUAAAAAAUUUUAAAGAAGAAUAAUAUCUUAACUGUUAAAUAAACGUAUUAUACAGAAAUUAACGUUGGUCUUAAUGAUCCGAUAAAUAACAUUAAUAGGUGUAUUAUCGCUAAACGAAUAAAAGUUACUCUAGGGAUAACAGGCUGAUCUCUCUCGAGAGACUUGAUAUUGACGGGGAGGUUUGGCACCUCGAUGUCGGCUUAUCGCAUCCUGAAGCUGAAUAAGGUUUCAAGGGUUGGUUUGUUCACCCAAUAAAGCGGUACGUGAGCUGGGUUCAGAACGUCGCAAGACAGUUUGGUCCAUAUCCGGUGUAAAUUAAUAAAACAUUGCGACAAUUCUUUUUAGUACGAGAGGAAUAAAAGAACUAUAUUAAUUGUGUGCUAGUUAUUUAAUUUUAUAUUAAGUAUUGUUAGGUAGCAACAUAUAGGUAGAAAAUAAUUGCUGAAAAAAUAUAAGCAAGAAUAUGCGUUUAAAUAUGUUUUAAACAAUAAAAAAUUAUUUAUAAACAAAUAAUUUAUAUUAUAUUAUAGUGUAAGUACAGAGAUGUAUUUAGCUAUAAAUUUAAAAAUUUAACUUUUUAAUUAUUUUGUUUUAAUAUGUGCUAA
rnacentral:rRNA from 2 species